ACGAACGCUGGCGGCUGCUUAACACAUGCAAGUCGAACGGAGUGGCGAAAGGGUGAGUAACGCGUGAGCAACCUGCCUAUGACAGUGGGAUAGCCUCGGGAAACCGGGAUUAAUACCGCAUAGUCAUAGAUGGGCUCGGGUGUGAUUAGCUAGUUGGUGAGAUAACAGCUCACCAAGGCGACGAGCAGUAGCCGGGCUGGGAGGAUGAACGGGCACAUUGGAACUGAGACACGGUCCAAACUCCUACGGGAGGGAGCAGUGGGGAAUAGUGCACAAUGGGGGAAACCCUGAUGCAGCGACGCCGCGUGAACGAAGAAGGUAUUCGUAUCGUAAAGUUCUGUCCUAUGGGAAGCAGUACCAUAGAAGAAAGCUCCGGCUAAAUACGUGCCAGCCGCCGCGGUAAUAC
rnacentral:rRNA from 1 species